rnacentral:rRNA from 1 species
UGGGGAAUAUUGCACAAUGGGCGAAAGCCUGAUGCAGCGACGCCGCGUGAGGGAUGACGGCCUUCGGGUUGUAAACCUCUUUCAGCAGGGAAGAAGCGAAAGUGACGGUACCUGCAGAAGAAGCGCCGGCUAACUACGUGCCAGCAGCCGCGGUAAUACGUAGGGCGCAAGCGUUGUCCGGAAUUAUUGGGCGUAAAGAGCUCGUAGGCGGUUAGUCGCGUCUGCUGUGAAAACUCGAGGCUCAACCUCGGGCUUGCAGUGGGUACGGGCUGACUAGAGUGCGGUAGGGGUGACUGGAAUUCCUGGUGUAGCGGUGGAAUGCGCAGAUAUCAGGAGGAACACCGAUGGCGAAGGCAGGUCACUGGGCCGCAACUGACGCUGAGGAGCGAAAGCAUGGGGAGCGAACAGGAUUAGAUAGCCCUGGUAGUCCAUGCCGUAAACGUUGGGCACUAGGUGUGGGUCCAUUCCACGGAUUCCGUGCCGCAGCAAAGCGCAUUAAGUGCCCCGCCUGGGGAGUACGGCCGCAAGGCUAAAACUUAAAGGAAUUG